CGAAAAGGCCGAAUCCUGUGCAGUUUGGAAGAGAAAUAUGCUUGAAAUGGUUGAGUGUUAAUCGAUGGAAAUGAGGUGCAGCUUGUGGCAAGCUGCAAGCUGAUCAGUCAUGAUCCUCAAGUGUGAAUUUGUUGCAAGUGCAACUUGUGGCGUGCUGCAAGCAGAUCAAUCAUGAUCCCUUUCAACUUCUGUGCCUCUAGAAGACCCACACUACUGUAGUUGACACGUCGACUGUUCCGGACUCUUUUUACCCGCCCCAUUCUCAACAUAGCAUCAUUUUGAAAAACAAAUUCACGAACCUAAGUUGAUCACCAAACUAUCAGAAAAUGACUUCAAAAAUUAUUAUCAAUCUUAUUCUGUGAAGAUACGACUUACUUAUUAGAUAAUAAUUAAAUAUCUAAAUAUCUUGGACCCCCGAGGGGGACACCCCUCUUGAGUUGGUAUAGCCUACCCGUACCCUAAGAAAGUAGUUCCCCUAUGAAAUAAUCUAUUUACUCUUUAUAACUUUACUGAUGGCUUCAGAAGUGAAAUAACUGAUAAUACAUACAUAGAUGGAUAUUCGUUUUUUGUUUUUACAGACUAAAACUCGAUAAACGCUGAGAACUAGUUAGCACAUUAUUGUAUUACUACGCGGAAUGUUCUAGAAGAAAUUUUCAAGAACUCAACUCAAGCCCAACCUAACCCUAAGCUAACUAACGAGUAACGUCCAGCGUCAUUCUGAUUCUGUCUUUCUGUCUGUCUUUUGUCUUUAGAACUCAUGCUGUUCGGAUCUCCUUUGAUUGCUGAUAAAAACAUAAUCCUGCACUUGAGGAGUCUGCACUCCUAAAGUCUGCUCUUGAAGAGUCUACAGUCUACACUUUAUAAUAUUCACUUUAUUGAUUGUGGAUGAUCAUUUUUACAUCAUGGAUCAAAUCAUCAGGAAUGGGUCAACGUUCGUUGUGAUAAGAGUUAUGGAUGACUCAACAUUCCUUACUCAUAAAUACAGGAUAAGGUGGGUGGAGAAUGGACAGAAUAAUAAAAAAUGAUAAUUUUUUAUUUAAUUCACUGGACAUCUUUAUAACUUUCAAGAACUUGGUGAAUCCAUCACAUCAAAAACAAGUUCUAAGGAGCCAG